rnacentral:lncRNA from 1 species
UUCAUUGUUAGAAUUAAUAUGUUAUAUUUCAAAAGUUUUAUAUUCAUUUUAAACCUCUAUAAAAGCCCCACAUUUUAUUACUUAUCCAUUAAAUUUUUCCUCCAACAAUCAAGACAUGAUAUGUUCUUGGUGUUUGAGAGAAAGAAAGAGAGAGAGGGAAAAAAAAUCAUGCUUCCUCUACUUUCCACUUAAGAAGAAAAAAAAAAUUCUAACAGUUCUCUUUAUUCUCUAUGAC